rnacentral:rRNA from 1 species
GACGAACGCUGGCGGCGUGCUUAACACAUGCAAGUCGAACGGAAAGGCCCUGCUUUUGUGGGGUGCUCGAGUGGCGAACGGGUGAGUAACACGUGAGUAACCUGCCCUUGACUUUGGGAUAACUUCAGGAAACUGGGGCUAAUACCGGAUAGGAGCUCCUGCUGCAUGGUGGGGGUUGGAAUGUUUCGGCGGUUGGGGAUGGACUCGCGGCUUAUCAGCUUGUUGGUGGGGUAGUGGCUUACCAAGGCUUUGACGGGUAGCCGGCCUGAGAGGGUGACCGGCCACAUUGGGACUGAGAUACGGCCCAGACUCCUACGGGAGGCAGCAGUGGGGAAUAUUGCACAAUGGGCGGAAGCCUGAUGCAGCAACGCCGCGUGCGGGAUGACGGCCUUCGGGUUGUAAACCGCUUUCGCCUGUGACGAAGCGUGAGUGACGGUAAUGGGUAAAGAAGCACCGGCUAACUACGU